rnacentral:tRNA from 1 species
CGCAGUCUACAGGAUUCAAACCUGUGCGGGAAUAUCCCAAUAGAUUUCUAGUCUAUCGCCUUAACCACUCGGCCACGACUGC